UACAUGGGGUGCAAACGUUGCUCGGAAUUAUUGGGCGUAAAGCGCACGUAGGCGGUUCGUUAAGUCGGAUGUGAAAGCCCUCGGCUCAACUGAGGAAGUGCACCCGAAACUGGCGAGCUUGAGUACGGAAAGAGGAUCGCGGAAUUCCCGGUGUAGAGGUGAAAUUCGUAGAUAUCGGGAGGAACACCGAGCGGCGAAGG
rnacentral:rRNA from 1 species